rnacentral:rRNA from 1 species
UACGUAGGGUGCGAGCGUUGUCCGGAAUUAUUGGGCGUAAAGAGCUUGUAGGCGGUUUGUCGCGUCUGCCGUGAAAAUCCGGGGCUCAACCCCGGACUUGCGGUGGGUACGGGCAGACUAGAGUGUGGUAGGGGAGACUGGAAUUCCUGGUGUAGCGGUGAAAUGCGCAGAUAUCAGGAGGAACACCGGUGGCGAAGGCGGGACUCUGGGCCGAUACUGACGCUGAGGAGCGAAAGCGUGGGGAGCGAACAGG